rnacentral:misc_RNA from 1 species
GAUGAGAACGUAGCGAAAUGCGAUACUUGGUGUGAAUUGCAGAAUCCCGUGAACCAUCGAGUCUUUGAACGCAAGUUGCGCCCGAAGCCAUCAGGUUGAGGGCACGUCUGCCUGGGCGUCACAUAUCGUUGCCCAAUGCCUAUUGCAGUGCAAUAGGAAUUUCUAGGGCGAAUGAUGGCUUCCCGUGAGCGUUGUUGCCUCGCGGUUGGUUGAAAAUCGAGUCCUUGGUAGGGUGUGCCAUGGUAGAUGGUGGUCGAGUUAGAACGAUACCGAUCAUGUGCAUGCUCCCCAAAAUAUGGCCUCUAUGACCCACACGCGUCUUUUGACGCUCAUGACGAGACCUCAGGUCAGGCGGGGCUACCCGCUGAAUUUAAGCAUAUCAAUAAGCGGAGGA